rnacentral:rRNA from 1 species
UACGUAGGGUGCGAGCGUUGUCCGGAAUUAUUGGGCGUAAAGAGCUCGUAGGCGGUGUGUCGCGUCGGCCGUGAAAACCUGCAGCUUAACUGUGGGCUUGCGGUCGAUACGGGCAUCACUGGAGUUCGGCAGGGGAGACUGGAAUUCCUGGUGUAGCGGUGAAAUGCGCAGAUAUCAGGAGGAACACCAAUGGCGAAGGCAGCUCACUGGGACGGUAUUGACGCUGAGACGCGAAAGCGUGGGGGAGCAAAACAGG